rnacentral:rRNA from 1 species
UGCACGAAAGCGUGGGUAGCAAACAGGAUUAGAUACCCUGGUAGUCCACGCCCUAAACGAUGCGAACUAGGUGUUGGAGAAGGAGACUUCUUUAGUACCGCAGCUAACGCGUGAAGUUCGCCGCCUGGGGAGUACGGUCGCAAGAUUAAAACUCAAAGGAAUUGACGGGGACCCGCACAAGCGGUGGAUGAUGUGGAUUAAUUCGAUGCAACGCGAAAAACCUUACCUACCCUUGACAUGCCUGGAAUCCUGCUGAGAGGCGGGAGUGCCCGAAAGGGAACUGGGACACAGGUGCUGCAUGGCUGUCGUCAGCUCGUGUCGUGAGAUGUUGGGUUAAGUCCCGCAACGAGCGCAACCCUUGUCGUUAAUUGCCAUCAUUCAGUUGGGCACUUUAGCGAGACUGCCGGUGACAAACCGGAGGAAGGUGGGGAUGACGUCAAGUCCUCAUGGCCCUUAUGGGUAGGGCUUCACACGUCAUACAAUGGUCGGUACAGAGGGCUGCCAACCCGCGAGGGGGAGCCAAUCCCAGAAAGCCGAUCGUAGUCCGGAUUGGAGUCUGCAACUCGACUCCAUGAAGUCGGAAUCGCUAGUAAUCGUGGAUCAGCAUGUCACGGUGAAUACGUUCCCGGGUCUUGUACACACCGCCCGUCACACCAUGGGAGUGGGUUUCANNNNNAGUAGGUAGCCUAACCGCAAGGAGGGCGCUUACCACGGUGGGAUUCAUGACUGGGGUGAAGUCGUAACAAGGUAAGCA